GCCUGGGUGGCUCAGUCGGUUAAGCGUCCGACUUCAGCUUGGGUCAUGAUCUCAUGGUUCGUGGGUUCGAGCCCCGCGUCGGGCU
rnacentral:tRNA from 1 species